rnacentral:ribozyme from 1 species
GAAUGAUGAUCAAGCUUCUUCUUUUUUCCAACAUCAUUUAUAUUUUAUUUUUUUUAAA